GAAUUAUUGUAAUUUAGACAAACUAAAAAAACAUAGAAAAUCAAGCUAGAGAAAACCAAACCAUCCGUUUGAGAUUACAGAGUGCUAGUCGGAGGUUGAAGAGGAGUGAAAGUUAAGCGGACGACUCGGUGUGGGUUGGUGUGAGAUGCAGAAACUGAAGGCAGAGAGAAAGACUCGUUUCAGUCUCAGAUAAUAACCUGAUUCUCUUUCUUCAGGGUCAAGCUAGUAGUGAUGUUUCUAUGUUUCUGUUGCCAGUGUGAUAUCAGCUUCCUAGACGUUACAAGUUUACAACUAUAAGCAGUGCUGCCAUUUAAGCAUCCAUAAUACUUGUUGCUGUUGGACCCUGAUCUCAGUAACCAGUUAUGAGACCCGUCAAAAUUGAUAACAUCAUACUUGAAAUUGGUUUUGCAAAAGACGAAAAAAAAAAAACUGUCGCAAAUGAUAGAAGAAUUAAUCGUAAUUAAAGGGUGUGGCUUACCUCUAUGUUCCAUUGAUCUUUAGCCUUCAUCCCUGCAAUUUGGAAAAGGUGGAAAGAGAAAGGUUAAUUUAGAUGUGUGAUGUCCUGAUAGUCCUGGAGGCAGUGUUGAAACUGAAGGUAUUUCUACUUCCUUGUUAUGCUUUCCUUCCAUACUUCUGUAUUGAAUCUGAAAAUGGAGAAUUAACUACCUUAAAGCUUAUGGCUUUCUCUAUUAUAUCAAGAGCAUUACAUUAAUCAUCAAAAACACUUGGUUUCUGUGGCAAAAGAUAGCAAAUGACCAAACAGUGUUGCACCUUGAAUGAUAAGAACUGCCCUUGUUGACAUGUAAGAUUCUUUCCCUUCCAUAUCUAUCAAUUGCUAAGUUUUGUUAAAAGCAUGUACUUGGUCCUGAUUAAUUCAUGUCAAAGAAAAUUAAACAUGGUCUUAAAAAUGAAUAAAUAAUAGCAUUCUAGUUCCAAUUGGUCUUUACCCUUGGGCCUGGAAUUUUUAUGCUACGUUGCAGGGCCAGAUUUGGAAAUAGCAAGAAACGAAGUUCUCAGUUUGUAGUGACUACUGAUCGAGAGUUUUGUAUAUAAUAUGAUACUUGGGACAGUUGAAGCGCUGCAUACCCAUGUCACUUUCCUUUUUUCGUCUAAUAAUUGGGAUGGCUAUGGCAAUUACAAUUGUGCCAGAGUGAGAAGGGCAAAGAUUGGCCCAAGAUAUGAUAUGCCAGAUCAAAAUCAUUCAAUUCCCUCUCAGAUGAUUUUCUGCAAAAUCUAGUGCUCUGUUGUCAUUGCUAAUCAAAUAUUGAUUCUGUAUAUGCUUGUACUGGAGGUAAGCAUGGUCCCAUGGUUGACCAACAGGGGAACAUUUUUUAUUUUAGAGUUCCAUUGCUUAUGACGUUUUGAAUUAGUGUCUUGUAACUUGGCCAGCAUGCUCUGUUUCUUUUCCAAAUGUAGUGAAGUUCUAUACCAGUGCUUUGCUAAUGUUUGGCUGAACAUAAACAAUGGAGGUACUAGCAUUGAAUUUCUACUUUCCACUUUUAUGUGCCAACUUCUGGAUCCUCUUCUGAUCAAAGGCUCAAAGCAUCUCUGGUUGUUAUGCAAUACUACCAGCCUACAACUGAAGGAGCAGUAAAGUCAUUGGCAAUAACUUCAGAGUUAUGUGGGGAAAACAGAUGGCAUAUGGCUAACAGUAUUGCACCUUCAUAUGGACCUGUGAGAUUCUUAAUUUCCAGUUUCCAGGUCAUCAUUGCAUAUAUUUACUUCUAAUUAUGGAUGUAGUUUAUAGAGAGCACCUGUGGAUUCACUUAGUCCUAGAAUAGUAGACAUGCUCAGUGAAUAAGCUAAAGUAAAUAAAAGCAGGCCCAGAGCCUUUGUUCUCUGUUAAUUAUAUGCAGCAUCUCAGCAAGGACAAUUUCUAUUCUAGGACAACUUUAGGAUGCCGGAAAGGGAUCACUAUCUCAUUUCCUCUUACCUAACUCAGCAAAUAAGAGUCUAGUAUAGUCAGUGAGGGAGAGAUAUACUUAGAAAUAGCCCAAACCUGUAGUUUAAUCUCAUAACAUCUUUAUUAAUCUCAAGUCUACUUCAACUUUCAGAUUCUCUUUCUUCAGGGUCAAGCUAGUAGUGAUGUUUUUAUGUUUCUGUUGCCAGUGUGAUAUCAGCUCCCUAGACGUUACAAGUUUACAACUUUAUUAGCAGUCCUGCCACUAAAGGUGUGUUAACUUUUGUAUGGAAUAUGGAUUUGAAGAAUUAAUGAUCUUUAAAAGUCGUGGCUUACGCCCUGUAUUUGGGAAAAGAUGGCCAAUGUAUCUUGUUUAUUUUCUGUUCUUUUCAUGCAGCAUCGCAUAAUACUUGUUGCUGUUGGACCCUGAUCUCAGUAACCAGUUAUGUGACCUGUCAAAAUUGAUAACAUCUCAUUAUACUUGAAAUUGGCACUUGAAAAAAAAAAAAAACUUUGUUGCAAAUGAUUUGCUGACUGUAAAGAAGGGUCUCUGACUUUGGCAUAGUUACAACAAUCUAUGCGUGGUUAAAUAUUUUUCAUUGUAACACAUAGUGGAAUGUCUGACAAAUGUUUGAACUGGAGUCUACAGUUGUAUUUUCAUUUCUCAUUGAAAUAUUAUAAAUUUUAUACCGCACAAUGUGGAAUUAGAAUGUAAGAUGAGCAAUUGAGUGUAAGUCAAAGCCCUUGAGGAAAUUUCAGCAGUUUUUUCUUGCUCUUAUUUGUCCAUAUCAUGUGGACAGUUUAUACAAUUUUGUAACCGGAUAAGAAGGCUCAAUCCCAUGCAUGCUGCUGAAGUGAAUCCCUUUAACAAUGCAUCAGGAAUACAACCUGUUCUCGCUACCACUUAUCUCUUGCAUUUCCCGGCAUUAAUCUUCUUUCUAUUCUUUCUUUAUCAGUACCGGAGUUUACCAUUGCAAGUUUUCUAAUCUGCUUGAUUAAAUUACAAAACCAGUAAGACCAUAUUGAUUUGUUUAAGAUUGUAGGUUGACCAUAUUUCUCUAGAAUGUGAGCAAUUAAAAGAUAUAUGAUGUUACAGUUGCCAAAAAGAUGUUACAAUACUUGAACGUUCUAAAUAUAUAACUAUUCUUUGUUCUUGUUGGAUUAGACUUGAGUCUCACAUUCAUAUCCCUCUCAACCCGUAA